GCCAGACUCCUACGGGAGGCAGCAGUGAGGAAUAUUGGUCAAUGGGCGCGAGCCUGAACCAGCCAAGCCGCGUGAGGGAUGAAGGUACAGAGUAUCGUAAACCUCUUUUGUCAGGGAACAAAGGCGGGGACGCGUCCCCGGAUGAGUGUACCCGAAGAAAAAGCAUCGGCUAACUCCGUGCCAGCAGCCGCGGUAAUACGGAGGAUGCGAGCGUUAUCCGGAUUUAUUGGGUUUAAAGGGUGCGCAGGCGGAGGUGCAAGUCAGCGGUCAAAUUGCGGGGCUCAACCCCGUACUGCCGUUGAAACUGCAUCCCUUGAGUGCGCGAGAAGUAUGCGGAAUGCGUGGUGUAGCGGUGAAAUGCAUAGAUAUCACGCAGAACUCCGAUUGCGAAGGCAGCAUACCGGCGCGCAACUGACGCUCAUGCACGAAAGCGUGGGUAUCGAACAGGAUUAGAUACCCCCGUAGG
rnacentral:rRNA from 1 species